rnacentral:lncRNA from 1 species
UUGAUUCAGGAUCAGGAAAUUCACUUCUGUGGGGGUGCCCUGGUCCGUCCUGACUUCCAGCUGACUGUGGGCCAGCUGCUUCCACAGCAGGAGAAAUGUCCUCCGUGAUGCUGGGGGCCCACGACCUGAGGUGGGGGGAGAGAUUCCAGCAGAUGUGUUCCAUACGGACCAUCCGUGAGAAUGGCUGACCCCCACCUGGAUGACUUGCUGCUGCAGCUGGACUGUGAAGCUGACCUCCCCAGCGGUGUGGUGCUGGGGUCGCUGCACCUGCAGAAUGCCACAGUGGGAGCAUGCACCAGCUGCCAGGUGGCUGCUAGGGGGACCCAACAGAGAGGGAGGCACCUCUCAUGCUUCCCAGGGGUUGUCAAUGUGAGGGUGACCCCCG